rnacentral:rRNA from 1 species
UGCCAGCAGCCGCGGUAAUACAGAGGGUGCUAGCGUUAUUCGGAAUUACUGGGCGUAAAGCGCAUGUAGGUGGAAUGUCAAGUCAGGCGUGAAAUCCCGGGGCUCAACCUCGGAACUGCGUUUGAAACUGAUAUUCUUGAGUAUGGGAGAGGAAAGCGGAAUUCCUGGUGUAGAGGUGAAAUUCGUAGAUAUUAGACAGAAUACCAAUUGCGAAGGCAGCUUUCUGGAUCAUUACUGACACUGAGGAACGAAAGCAUGGGUAGCGAAGAGGAUUAGAUA